UUGCGGAGGGAAAUGAGAUUUUCUUAAUAUUCCGUUCAAAAAACAGCAAUUUGGUGACAUGGAUGUCACCAAAAGCCCGCAGUGAGCCUGGAUGGCGAAUCGCGGGCGGUUGCGUCCGGCCAAUACAACUAUGCCGGAAUAUUUAGAAAAUUCAUUUUCCGAAGCUG
rfam:Lachnospiraceae bacterium 28-4 genomic scaffold acPFn-supercont1.1, whole genome shotgun sequence.